rnacentral:rRNA from 1 species
AUGAAGGACUAUCUGCCAAAUGCAGAGCACAGAAUGUGUGCUAGGCAUAUGUAUGCCAACUGGACAAAGAAGCAUAGGGCACAUGAAUGGCAGAAGAAGUUCUGGGUAGUUGCCAAAGCAACAAACAAGCAAGACUUCAACUACUACAAAGCAAAGCUAGCCCAAGAAACACCAGAUGGUGCAAAAGAUAUGAUGAGAACAGAGCCAGUACACUGGGAAAGGGCAUUUUUUCCAGUGGGUUCCAACUGUGAAUCAUUUGACAAUGUUCUUUGUGAAUCUGUUAAUCAUGCAAUUGUUGAAGCAAGGUUUUAUCCAAUAAUUUCAAUGCAAUAA